CUCUGGAGAACAGUACUACUCACACCCUUUAAGCUCAUCACAGUGUUCUUGCAUGAAGCAAGUCAUGCUAUUGCUUGCAAACUCACAUGUGGUCAUGUGGAGGGAAUCCAAGUCCAUGCAAAUGAGGGUGGCGUCACACAAACGCAUGGUGGUGUAUACUGGUUGAUAUUACCUGCAGGAUAUCUUGGCUCAUCAUUCUGGGGAAUGACUUUGAUACUCGCAUCAACAAAUCUCCUCACUGUGAGAAUUGUUGCUGGUUGUUUAAUUGUUGCUCUA